UCCAGACUCCUACGGGAGGCAGCAGUGGGGGAUAUUGCACAAUGGGGGAAACCCUGAUGCAGCGACGCCGCGUGAGUGAAGACGGCCUUCGGGUUGUAAAGCUCUGUCAAUCGGGACGAAGAAGAUGACGGUACCGAUGAAGGAAGCUCCGGCUAACUACGUGCCAGCAGCCGCGGUAAUACGUAGGGGGCAAGCGUUAUCCGGAUUUACUGGGUGUAAAGGGAGCGUAGACGGCGACGCAAGUCUGGAGUGAAAGCCCGGGGCCCAACCCCGGGACUGCUCUGGAAACUGCGGCGCUGGAGUACGGGAGGGGCAGGCGGAAUUCCUGGUGUAGCGGUGAAAUGCGUAGAUAUCAGGAGGAACACCGGCGGCGAAGGCGGCCUGCUGGACCGUGACUGACGUUGAGGCUCGAGAGCGUGGGGAGCAAACAGGAUUAGAUACCCCUGUA
rnacentral:rRNA from 1 species